rnacentral:rRNA from 1 species
AGCGCAGGCGGGAAGACAAGUUGGAAGUGAAAUCUAUGGGCUCAACCCAUAAACUGCUUUCAAAACUGUUUUUCUUGAGUAGUGCAGAGGUAGGCGGAAUUCCCGGUGUAGUGGUGGAAUGCGUAGAUAUCGGGAGGAACACCAGUGGCGAAGGCGGCCUACUGGGCACCAACUGACGCUGAGGCUCGAAAGUGUGGGUAGCAAACA